rnacentral:rRNA from 1 species
GACGAACGCUGGCGGCGUGCCUAAUACAUGCAAGUCGAACGCAGUGGGGACGGGUGAGUAACACGUGGGUAACCUCCCAUCAGAGGGGAUAACACUUGGAAACAGGUGCUAAACCGAUACUGAUGGAUGGACCCGCGGUGCAUUAGCUAGUUGGUGAGGUAACGGCUCACCAAGGCCACGAUGCAUAGCCGACCGGAGAGAGUGAUCGGCCACACUGGGACGGAGAAACGGCCCAGACUCCGACGGGAGGCAGCAGUAGGUAAUCGUCGGCAAUGGACGAAAGUCUGACCGAGCAACGCCGCGUGUGUGAAGAAGGUCUUAGGGUUGUAAAGUACUUUCAUCGGAGAGGCGUUAUCUAAAGAAAAAGCCACGGCUAACUCCGUGCCAGCAGCCGCGGUAAUAC